rnacentral:rRNA from 1 species
AUUGAACGCUGGCGGCAUGCCUUACACAUGCAAGUCGAACGGCAGCACGGGUGCUUGCACCUGGUGGCGAGUGGCGAACGGGUGAGUAAUAUAUCGGAACGUACCUUAUUGUGGGGGAUAACGCAGCGAAAGCUGUGCUAAUACCGCAUAAUCCCUAAGGGGGAAAGCGGGGGACCGUAAGGCCUCGCGCAAUUAGAGCGGCCGAUACCUGAUUAGCUAGUUGGUGAGGUAAAGGCUCACCAAGGCAACGAUCAGUAGCUGGUCUGAGAGGACGAUCAGCCGCACUGGGACUGAGACACGGCCCAGACUCCUGCGGGGGGCAGCAGUGGGGAAUUUUGGACAAUGGGGGCAACCCUGAUCCAGCAAUGCCGCGUGAGUGAAGAAGGCCUUCGGGUUGUAAAGCUCUUUUGUCAGGGAAGAAACAGCAGCUCUAACACAGUAUGCGAAUGACGGUACCUGAAGAAUAAGCACCGGCUAACUACGUGCCAGCAGCCGCAGUAA